CCUACGGGUGGCAGCAGUCGAGAAUCAUUCACAAUGGGGGAACCCCUGAUGGUGCGACGCCGCGUGGGGGAAUGAAGGUCUUCGGAUUGUAAACCCCUGUCAUGUGGGAGCAAAUUAGAAAAAUAGUACCACAAGAGGAAGAGCCGGCUAACUCAGUGACAGCAGCCGCGGUACUACAGAGGGCUCAAGCGUUGUUCGGAAUCACGGGGCGUAAAGCGUGCGGGGGCUGUUUCGCCAGUCGUGUGUGAAAUGCGCGGGGUCAAACCUCGGACGGCACAUGAUACUGGGGGACUAGAGGAAGGGAGGGGGAACCGGAAUGCUCGGUGUAGCAGUGAAAUGCGUAGAUAUCGAGAGGAACACUAGUGGCGAAGGCGGGGUCCUGGACAUUAACUGACGCGGAGGCACGAAGGCCAGGGGAGCGAAAGGGAUUAGAUACCCGGGUAGUC
rnacentral:rRNA from 1 species